rnacentral:rRNA from 1 species
CAAAUCACAAAACAACAGUCUCAGUUCAGAUUGUAGGCUGAAACUCGCCUAUAUGAAGUCGGAAUUGCUAGUAAUCGCGGAUCAGCAUGCCGCGGUGAAUACGUUCCCGGGCCUUGUACACACCGCCCGUCACACCAUGAGAGUCGAUAACACCCGAAGCCUGUAGUCUAACCUUAGGGGGGACGCAGUCGAAGGUGGGAUUGAUAAUUAGGGUGAAGUCGUAACAAGGUAUC